rnacentral:rRNA from 1 species
GCGAAAGCCUGAUCCAGCCAUGCCGCGUGUGUGAAGAAGGUCUUCGGAUUGUAAAGCACUUUAAGUUGGGAGGAAGGGCAGUAAGCUAAUACCUUGCUGUUUUGACGUUACCGACAGAAUAAGCACCGGCUAACUCUGUGCCAGCAGCCGCGGUAAUAAU